rnacentral:rRNA from 1 species
CCUACGGGAGGCUGCAGUGAGGAAUAUUGGUCAAUGGGCGGAAGCCUGAACCAGCCAAGUAGCGUGCGGGAUGAAGGCCCUACGGGUCGUAAACCGCUUUUGCACGGGGAUAACACCCUCCACUUGUGGAGGUCUGCAGGUACCGUGCGAAUAAGGGCCGGCUAAUUCCGUGCCAGCAGCCGCGGUAAUACGGAAGGCCCGAGCGUUAUCCGGAUUCAUUGGGCUUAAAGGGAGCGUAGGCGGGCGUUCAAGUCAGCUGUAAAAUCGCGCGGCUCAACCGCGCCCCGCAGUUGAAACUGGACGCAUUGAGUUCACAACAGGCAGGCGGAAUUCGUGGUGUAGCGGUGAAAUGCAUAGAUAUGACGAGGAACCCCGAUUGCGAAGGCAGCCUGCCGGGGUGCGACUGACGCUGAGGCUCGAAGGUGCGGGUAUCAAACAGGAUUAGAUACCCCAGUAGUC